AUACGGAGGGUGCAAGCGUUACUCGGAAUCACUGGGCGUAAAGCGCGCGCAGGCGGCUAUUUAAGUUGGAUGUGAAAGCCUACGGCUCAACCGUAGAACUGCAUCCAAAACUAUUUAGCUAGAGUGUGGGAGAGGAAGAUGGAAUUAGUUGUGUAGGGGUAAAAUCCGUAGAGAUAACUAGGAAUACCAAAAGCGAAGGCAAUCUUCUGGAACACUACUGACGCUGAGGCGCGAGAGCGUGGGGAGCAAACAGGAUUAGAAACCCUAGUAGUCC
rnacentral:rRNA from 1 species